rnacentral:lncRNA from 1 species
AAAAACCACACCGCGGCGGCAGCUAUAUAAAAGCCUUCACCUGACCCGGGCGCUAGGGUUUAUUCGCUCCUCCCGCCCGCCGCCGUCGCCGCCUCCUCUCCCCAGCACCCGGAGCUCGCCCGACCGCCGCUCACCAUGAUCAUCCCCAAGAAGAACCGCAAUGAGAUCUGCAAGUACCUCUUCAAGGGUAUGUGGUUCUUGGUCCACUAGACUCGCAGUAGGGUAACCUGGGCUGAUUGGUUGUUUCACCUUCUAGGAGGUGACAGGUCUUCAAAUUAUUUUCGUAUUACUAGGAGGGAGUGCUCGUGUAUUAUUUUGAGUUCACUUUUUUGGUCCAAUUUCAGCAUCUCACAAACUUACGAUCUGAUAUAUAGGCUUGACACAGCGAGCAUUGUCAAAUAUUUUUGUGCUCCAAAUUUAUUUGCCCCCUAAACUAUGGAUUCCUUGUUAUACAUUCAUCUGCGUUAUGUUCAUGCGAUUUCUGUUAGUUUGAUGUAUUUGCUGCUGCAGAGGGCGUGCUGUAUGCCAAGAAGGACUACAACCUGGCGA